rnacentral:sRNA from 1 species
GAGCAUCGUAGUCACGACGCGCGGCAGC